UGAAUGGAACUGACUUUUUUUUCAUAAAAUAUUAAAGGACUUGUGAGCAAUAAUUCAACUGAGAGUUUAAUGAGAUGAAAUAAAUUGUUUGCCUUCAGAAAACUGACUUUUAUGGAGCAAUUAGAAUGAAAAAUUUUAUUGAGCUUUUGAGUAUGAAAAGACAUUUGAGUAAAACUAAUAAAAUAUCUGCUUGUAGAUAUGAAAGUACUUUUAAGCAAGCAUGAAUGAAAGGCUUUUUAAAAAUAUAGAAUUAAAGUGAUAGAAUAUGAUUAUUGUAAUUAAUAUAAACAUAUAUUUAGGUUUAACUGAAAAUGAAUUGCUUUUGAUGCCUGGAACUCUUUAGUCUUUAAAAUUGAAAUGACUUGUUAAGUUCCAUAAAAUGAAAUGGACUAUUUGAGCAAUAUUUUAUAUAUUGAGCCUUUAAAUAUGGAAGGACAGUAUGAGCAACAUUAAAGGACUUAGAUCUGUAAAGGUGAUAGGACUUUUAGAUCAAUCAAAAUGAGAGGUCUACCUGAGCUUAAAAAGGUUUAACUGGAAAUUAAUCGCUAUUGAUGGCCUGGAACUCUUAUAAUCUUACAAUUUGGAGGUUGAUAAAAACGACCCAGCAGAGUAACGGACUUGCAGAAGGGGAGCACCAACGUCCACUUCUCUAUGCAGAACCCAACAGAGAAUACCUGGGAUAAGAUAACGGUUGAUAAACUACGACCCAGCAGAGAAACGGACUUGCAGAAGGGGAGCACCAACGUCCACUUCUCUAUGCAGAACCCAACAGAGGAUACCUGGGAUAAGAUAACGGAUGCGUAACCUGUGGACGGAGAAAGUCUGAAAGAAAAAGAAGACGGGAUCAUCAACCUUCUUCCUAAAUUAUCUGUAUCAUCAACCUUCCUCCUAAAUUAUCUGUAUCAUCAACCCUCCUCCUAAAUUAUCUGUAUCAUCAACCCUCCUCCUAAAUUAUCUGUAUCAUCAACCCUCCUCCUAAAUUAUCUGUAUCAUCAACCCUCCUCCUAAAUUAUCUGUAUCAUCAACCCUCCUCCUAAAUUAUCUGUAUCAUCAACCCUCCUCCUAAAUUAUCUGUAUCAUCAACCCUCCUCCUAAAUUAUCUGUAUCAUCAACCCUCCUCCUAAAUUAUCGGUAUCAUCAACCUUCCUAUUGCUUGUCUGUUUGUUUAUUUGUUUGUAACCAAUAAACGGCUAAACUAUCAGA